UACGGAGGGUGCAAGCGUUAUCCGGAUUCACUGGGUUUAAAGGGUGCGUAGGUGGGCAGGUAAGUCAGUGGUGAAAUCUCCGGGCUUAACCCGGAAACUGCCAUUGAUACUAUCAGUCUUGAAUACCGUGGAGGUAAGCGGAAUAUGUCAUGUAGCGGUGAAAUGCUUAGAUAUGACAUAGAACACCAAUUGCGAAGGCAGCUGGCUACACAAAUAUUGACACUGAGGCACGGAAGCGUGGGGAUCAAACAGG
rnacentral:rRNA from 1 species